GUGAGGAAUAUUGCGCAAUGGGCGAAAGCCUGACGCAGCGACGCCGCGUGGAGGAUGAAGGCCUUCGGGUCGUAAACUCCUGUCGAGGGGGACGAAAUGGUGCUCUGUUAAUACCAGGGCGUCUUGACGGUACCCCUGGAGGAAGCCCCGGCUAACUCCGUGCCAGCAGCCGCGGUAAUACGGAGGGGGCCAGCGUUGCUCGGAAUCACUGGGCGUAAAGGGCUCGUAGGCGGUUUGAUAAGUCCUGUGUGAAAUCCCUUGGCUUAACCAAGGAACUGCGCCGGAUACUGUCGAACUAGAGGCCGGGAGAGGGAAGCGGAAUUCCGAGUGUAGCGGUGAAAUGCGUAGAUAUUCGGAGGAACACCGGUGGCGAAGGCGGCUUCCUGGACCGGUUCUGACGCUGAGGAGCGAAAGCUAGGGUAGCAAACAGGAUUAGAAACCCCAGUAGUCC
rnacentral:rRNA from 1 species